GAGCGAGGCCAAUUGGCUCAGUGCACGUAACGCUCUACCGGUGUUGUAUCCGAUUCAGUUCCCCCUGGAAAUCAUGUUUCCUUUGAGAAAUCAGAUUCUCGGGCACGCGCAUUCAGCAAACAGAAACCAACGCCAGGCAACACUGGAACUACGGGAGGCGAAAGGGUUUAUUAACCACCGCUCGUGAAAAUAAAAAUAUAGUCAUCACGAUAGCUUCAUGGUUACGGUGGUUAAUAAGCACAACAAACACAGAACUGACAUUUCAGAAAUAAUGUUAUAUCACAGUGAACAGAAUUCGUACAAAAACUGAUUCUGGCAGCAUUUUACUGGGAAAUACUUUUCGUAUUGCUCUCCGCCGGUGGAAACACGCUUUUUUGUUUCAUUUCCGGUUAGCAAAACAACGCUAGCACAGAUGGACUUUGACGCUGGUUUGUCAACAAUGACGUUUUACAUGGGAUGUUUGCAAGACCCUUUUCAAAUGAUGGACAACGAUGUUCAUUGCAUCGUCAAGACAUUAACCGUGGCUUCUUCAAGCAAAAAGAAAAAGUGUUCAAGAUGUACAUCUACUAUGUACUAUGAAGAUUGUUCUAAAUGAUUCAAGACCAGUCUCUAUGGCCCCUGCUCAUGUGUUGCUGGGACCACUUUGUGCAACCAUGUGGUGGCAUUGCUUUAUCAUACCGCAUAUUAUUCACAACUGCAAAUUCCUGCCGUUCCUCCUGUCUUGAGCUGCACAGAGAGUGACCAGCAAUGGCACAAGCCAAGAACUUUGGUGUUAAGCCAGGACCUGUGGAUAAAAUGGCUGUACUCUUAGCAAGACCUAAGCAAAGAGCAGUUUUUGAGGGUGUACGGAGCACUCUGUACAAAGCGAUGUCUGGAGAUCUGCCAGACCUCUCUGUCCUGCAUGUGGCUGAAGUUUAAAAGGAAACUUUAGACCUAAUGCUAUAUAUUACAUGUUAUAUUUUGUGUUUUGAUUUAGGUUUAAUUCAGAUUUUUUAAAGCUUUAUGUAAGCCCAAUGAGUAGCUACAGAAAGCAAAAUGUGUGAAACAUGUCUUUGGCACAGUUCUGAUUGCCAUUAUAAUUGAUGGUUUGGAGUUAUUAAAAACUGUCAAAA